rnacentral:rRNA from 1 species
GGGGAAUAUUGCACAAUGGGCGAAAGCCUGAUGCAGCAACGCCGCGUGAGUGAAGAAGGUUUUCGGAUUGUAAGCUCUGUCAUCUGGGACGAUAAUGACGGUACCAGAUGAGGAAGCCACGGCUAACUACGUGCCAGCAGCCGCGGUAAUACGUAGGUGGCGAGCGUUGUCCGGAUUUACUGGGCGUAAAGGGUGCGUAGGCGGAUGUUUAAGUGAGAUGUGAAAUACCCGGGCUUAACUUGGGUGCUGCAUUUCAAACUGGAUAUCUAGAGUGCAGGAGAGGAGAACGGAAUUCCUAGUGUAGCGGUGAAAUGCGUAGAGAUUAGGAAGAACACCAGUGGCGAAGGCGGUUCUCUGGACUGUAACUGACGCUGAGGCGCGAAAGCGUGGGGAGCAAAC